UCUAGGUCUGCAGCUAUUGGACGAAGCGCAGGCAGGAGUCCGGAUGCUGAAAGCCCAGCUGGGUAAUGUCAGUGCAGCGUAUGGAGAAAUCCAGAUCCGUUCGGACGGUGCAGCGCGAGGAGCAGUGCAAGGUCGCUGCAGUGACGUGCUGACAAAGCUCUCCAGUGGCUGGAGGUUUUAUGGUGGGAACUUCUAUUACUUUUCACCAGAGAAAGUCGUGGGACGAGGCCGAGCGGUUCUGUGUCUCUCAGGACUCGCACCUGAUCUCUGUCUCCUCCCAGGCAGAACAGGAGUUUCUCUCCAAGGAGACCAAGGGAGAAGAUCACUGGAUUGGACUCACCGACCGGGGGACAGAAGGCAGCUGGCGCUGGGUGGAUGGCACAGAAUACAGAGCAGAUGCAAGCAGGGGGU